AGAGAGGUGGCUCAGUGGUUAAGAGCACUAGCUUUUAUUCCAGGGGACCUGGGUUCAGUUCCCAGCACCUAUA
rnacentral:tRNA from 1 species